rnacentral:snRNA from 1 species
UGGGUUAGUCGAUCCUAAGAGU